UGUAACACUCACCACGAGGGUCCGCAGCUUCAUUCUUAAAGUCAGCGAGACCAAGAACCCACCAAUUCCGGACACGCAAGUAUUCGUAACGUUCUUCUGUUCCAAGAAAAAUGGUCUUCUUACUUCCUUGAUGGCUCACAACAUGCUCCUUUCUACUGCAGGAACACUGUAUAACUUCUGUCAAGCAUGAACUCCCCACCUCUGUUUGACAUACUUCUCUACUUUCAGAACUCAGCUGAACUAUCGCUUCUCAAGGGAGCACUCAAACUUCCUGAACAGAACCACCUUAGAUAUUGCUGGCCAGCUCAUGAAUUGUGGCUUGUGGUCCAGCUAAUCUUUCCUAGUCUAUUCAGCUAUGGCCAGAGAAGAUGUGCUUAACUUGUGGAGCCUUACUGUUUCUCUAAGGACAUUCUUCUACAUAAUGUUGCGUCAGUAGAAUAAUUUUCUCACCAAGUGAUAGCUAGGUAGGUCAGUAAAUCCUCUCCUACACCGUAGUUAUUUGCUUUAAGCCAACUUGAAGUGAACUUCUGUCUCUUCUUUAAUCUGAGAAUCUUACGUCUUCAAGCCCUGUUCACACCGCUUGUCCCAUUAGAAUAAACCUUAUUUAAGAGUUACUGCCAUCUGGAGAAGAUAUCUGCUAAUAUGUUACGGAGUUUUUUCCAUUGUUGCUGCUUCUGUGAAGAACUCAGAAAGGUUCUGAUAAGCCAAGAGAAAAGACAAAAGUAAUGCUUUUCUCAGCGAGAUCUAAGAAUGUUUAGUAGAUUGACAGAGAUCAUUAACACUUUAAAUGUAGUUUUACUUCCAUUUUCAGUCAGGUGAAGUGAAAGUAAAAGUUUAUACUGGAUAGCAAAAUUAAAUAAUGUUUUUAGUGUUGAGACUGCCUAUUAUACACUUACACACACACUUACACACAUAUCCAGGAGAGAAAAUAUUUAUAAAAAGAAAAUUACAACUAAGAAAUCUUGUUUGAUAAUACUACUUUAAAAGCUAAGGCACAUAAAAGAGAAUUAGAUCUCUGUCAUUAAGAUUGUCCAUAAAAAUGCUUGUUUCUCAUACAUAAGACAGUGGGAAAAAAGGUUAGGACUAAUCAAUUUUUAUCUUCUUAUGAAUAUAGUAGAGAGCUUAGGCAUGUAAUAUUAUGAAACUUUACAAAUACUGAUUUAAAAUGUGCUAUAAGCACACUGGCCCCCACAGCCCUGCUAAGUUUACUAUAGACAUCAGGUCUUUUUUUUUAAUAUGAUAUUUGUUAAUUAAUUUAUUCACCAAACAUUGUUUAUUAAACAUAUUGUAUGUGUUUAGCAUAAACUUAGGGGCAAGAAAAUUAAUGACUAAGAAAUUUCCCCUGUCUUCAAAGUGUGCAUAGUUUAAUAAAAAGAGACAGCUAUUUUAAAUAUGUGACUGUAGUAAAAUUACAGAUGUCAAUUUAAAAAUAUGCAUAAGACAACGCACAAAAGAGGCAGUUCUACUGCUAAUUUUGUGGUGGAUGGACAGUUUUACCACAUUGAUCUUCGUUGACCAGAAAAGGUCAGCUGUGAUCAGUCUGUAAUCUGUUCAAUAGAAGACUUAUACGAGGCAUGUAUCAUUUUGAGACUCUGUGAUUGUUGUUUAGAAUACAAAAACAAAAGGUCAUGUCUUUGAAGAAUUUACAGAGUUUAAAAGAAUUUAAAUACCUUAGCAUAUUUCCCAGGCCCUUGUUGGGCACUGCUUGUGUGGAUGAUCCACUAGUAUCUCAAAGUCAAUGUAUGCUACACUAAAUCUUUCUUUCUUUCUAAAUCUUUUCCUACACUUAUGACUCCAUCAUAUUUCUAGUCUCUAAAACUUAAAGACUCAGAGUCUCUGUCUUCAUCUCACUGAUUACUCACAUGCAGCCACUUCCUGCUCUUUUAUUUCUGUUACCAUUGCACAGUUCAGGUGCUUUUGUAAGACCACCCAAACUAAUCAGCAUCUCUAGU